UUUUUGCAAGACAUACCCAACACUGCUCUGAGUCUGAGAGAUAGUGUGAAUCAGUUCUUGCGACAGAAUCGUCCUGCUGGAAAGCAGUGGCUCUGUUUUCUGACUUAGUGAGCUUUCCGGUAGGCACAGCU
rnacentral:snoRNA from 1 species